UACGAGGGGUGCAAGCGUUGCUCGGAAUCAUUGGGCGUAAAGGGCAAGUAGGUGGUCUUGUUUGUCUGUGGUGAAAGCCUUGGGCUUAACCCAAGAAGUGCCUCGGAAACGGCAAGACUAGAGUACUGGAGAGGGUCGCGGAAUUCCCGGUGUAGCGGUGAAAUGCGUAGAGAUCGGGAGGAACACCAGAGGCGAAAGCGGCGGCCUGGACAGGUACUGACACUCAACUGCGAAAGCGUGGGGAUCAAACAGG
rnacentral:rRNA from 1 species